ensembl:lncRNA
UGGCCCUAUUGUGUGCUGCAGUGGCUGUGUUAUCACAGUUUACAUGAGUAAUGUUUGCAGGUUUGGUGUCCUUGGCUCUGAAUUCCUCUGCGAGGCAGCUUUCCCACAUGCUCACAAACAGUCACUUCUGGGCUUUAAAAAGAAAUGAGGCAUCUGCUGAAAGAAACUUAUGGUAAUCACUGCAAAGUUGUGGAGUACAUCACUGCUGAGCCACAGCCUCCAUCCUAAGCCCCUACUUCGGAUCAACUCAUUAUCCCGAAUAAACGAUGUGUCAUUCCCAUUAUUUAUGUUUCACUGCAGCCAAAGUAUCUGGACCUCGUUUUUGCAUUUAAAGACAAACAGCUGCCUGAGCUUCAGCUGGAGGAGGAAAAGGAAGACACCAUCAAGCAUGAAUGUUGGUCUCAGUCCCAUUUGCUCCAUAAACGCUACAUCUGCACAGGCAAAAAGGAAUUAAGAUGUGAUUUUCAGGCCUGGAGUUUGAAAGUCAUCUGGCUACAUAGUCAGAGCUAUUGGGCAAGCAUCCACCAUUUCUGCUGGUUUAAAGCUCACUUUCCUUCCCUGACAUUAGAAAACAGAUCAGCAAUAACACCAGCAGUGAGGCUUUUGCAAGGAACAGGGGUGCGAAGAGCACUGCCUGGGCCAAAUUCCACACCAGAUAAUUCCAUUGAGGCAAUGGCUUCAAUCGGUCACCGUUAUCUUCACUUCCUGCCUCGUACUGCCGUGCCGUGCUACUGAGCAGUUGCUGAUUUCCUCUUCCUCAGGCCUGACUGCACGACAUGGCGGGGCUGCAGCAUCUCCUCCCUGCUCUGUUCUUCACUUACAGGAGUUGUAUGGAAAGAAAGCAAAUGAUGGAAAAUAUUUUGAUUUCCUCUGAUGAAGCUUACCUCUUCUAGAGUGAAUAUUUUUUGCUAUUAUGGAGCAAAGUUGUAUUUUAAAAACUUUUCUGUUGUUUCUGCAGAUCUGUCAUCUAUUUCCAUGGAUAUGUGAGUGGCAAUAAGGCACCCAGGAGAUGUUGAUUACAGCCAUUUUCUGGCUGCCCAGUGAGCAGUGAAGUGCUGCUGAAGUCAUUAAUAUAUCACACUCGAAACUAACACAAUAGUUUACACUUUGCUGGUUCUCUUUGGCCGAGACUCCCCAGGUCUGAUAAAUGAGCUGCUACUCUAAAGCAAUUAAUUAAGCCUCAUAACAACUAGGUGAAUGGGUUAGGAGGACAGAAAGGCUGGGAAUGCUGGCAUGACCUGUCAAAGGCCAGCUUACAAGCUAGUGGCAUAGGCAGGAAGGCAUUCAGUCCACCCACUCUGGCUUGUGGCCCCAAAGCUCCUCCCUGAAUGUGUUAGGUUUAGAGUACCUGCAGAUCAGGGCACAGAUAAAUACCUAUUCUCAUCUGUUUAAUGACAAAGCUCCUCCCCCCCAGAAAACCCAGUGUAUCUUUGAUUUGUUGAGUUCUUGCUACAACAAGUGCCAUCAGAUAAUAGAAGGGCUGUAUUCCUGCAGGAUAUGGCAUAUGCUAACUGUUCACUGAAUGGCUUUCCCUGUCCAUCAUGUUGAAUUCCUCAGUCAAGUUCUUGCUAGUUCUUCUCUAACAAUAAGGCUUCUGCCACUGUGACAGGGAGAUUAUUCCACAAAGAUGAGAGAACGUGUCAUUAUUAUCUCUGAAAACUGAGUUAUUUUUCUGGGCAUUUUCAGAAGACAAACCUCGUGGUUGUGGUUGCAGGAACAAAGCUAGAGAGAAGGAAUAACAGGAAGGACUUUUUGAUGUAAUGUCAAUACAGUAUGUUCUGUUUCUCAUAUGUUACUUUUCUGUAUUGUCACUCUAUUUUUUCUGCUUUUAACUUCUUUUGUAGUGCUGUGAGAUGCUGUGAGAUAACAUAUACCAAGUUCUUUCAUUCUUGCACCCUCACAAAAUGCUCUGAAACAAACAGAUCUUUGUAUGUUAAGGAACUGCUCAGAAUGAUUAAGGCAUGUGGAAUUGGGACCCUCAUGAUUUUCUUUCUCUGAAUCAUCAUUUUCUAGAUUGGUUCCUAGAAGACCUCACAGUUGGAUGUACAUGGAAAGACUUAGACAGUCUUCCUUGACCCAGCUACCUUGUCAUCAUGCUUCUAAAUAUUCAAGCAUUAUAUCUGGAAUUAUUCACAGACUAUAGUAAUUAUCGUUCAGCAAAAAUCAGUCCCUCCAAAUGUUUGAUACCUAACGUGCACACAACCCAUCUGGGUUUAAUGGGUUUAUUCGUGCGAGUAAAACCCAUGGAGUCAGGCCCAGCAAAGUAUAAUGGCAUCACCUAAGUAUCUUCAGCACCUCCGUAUUAUUACCUUUGAGUCACUCACACCCUCAGUCAAUAAAAUUGAUCUCAUAACAAAUGCCAGUUGUACCCUACUAUUAACUUCUUUCCGUUCACAGAAGAAACUUCUUAUUACAACACUUUUUUUUUCUGCCGCUUAAC